rnacentral:tRNA from 1 species
GGGCCGUUAGCUCAGUCGGUAGAGCAGAAGACUUUUUAAUCUUUUGGUCGAAGGUUCGAAUCCUUCACGGCCCACCA